GCCAUCAUAGCUCAGUCGGGAGAGCGUUAGACUGAAGAUCUAAUGGUCGCCGGCUUGAUCCCGGUUCCCGGUU
rnacentral:tRNA from 1 species